rnacentral:rRNA from 1 species
UACGAAGGGGGGCUAGCGUUGCUCGGAAUCACUGGGCGUAAAGCGCACGUAGGCGGCUUUCUAAGUCAGGGGUGAAAUCCUGGAGCUCAACUCCAGAACUGCCCUUGAUACUGGAAGCUUGAGUUCGGGAGAGGUGAGUGGAACUGCGAGUGUAGAGGUGAAAUUCGUAGAUAUUCGCAAGAACACCAGUGGCGAAGGCGGCUCACUGGCCCGAUACUGACGCUGAGGUGCGAAAGCGUGGGGAGCAAACAGG